UAGGGAUACUAUUAUCCUUCCUCAUGAUCCCUUCUCUAAUCCAGGUUGGAUGAGAACAGAAGCAAUCAGUGAUGUGUCCUCACCUCAACUGACUGUAUCUGAGCACUUGUGAAGAGCGGCCCAUGAACACUAUGCAGCGUCUUUCAUCCAAAACGCAUUGUUCUACAAUGUAAAGAAUCAAAAGAGACAAGGAUUCAGAAGACACGAACUGUCACCUUCACUACACACCUUGAGCAUUAAUAAAUCUCUCUGAGCCUCA